rnacentral:rRNA from 1 species
AACGAACGCUGGCGGCGCGCCUAAUACAUGCAAGUCGAGCGAGAAGGUGUAGCAAUACACUUGUAAAGCGGCGAACGGGUGAGGAAUACAUGGGUGACCUACCAUUGAGUGGGGAAUAACCAGCCGAAAGGCUGGCUAAUACCGCGUACGCUUCCGGAUUUUCGAGUUCGGAAGGAAAGCGAUACCGUGGGUAUCGCGCUCUUUGAUGGGCUCAUGUCCUAUCAGCUUGUUGGUAGGGUAACGGCCUACCAAGGCUUUGACGGGUAGCUGGUCUGAGAGGACGAUCAGCCACACUGGCACUGCGACACGGGCCAGACUCCUACGGGAGGCAGCAGUAAGGAAUAUUGCGCAAUGGGCGAAAGCCUGACGCAGCGACGCCGCGUGGGGGAUGAAGGUCUUCGGAUUGUAAACCCCUUUCGGGAGGGAAGAUGGGACGGGCAACCGUUCGGACGGUACCUCCAGAAGCAGCCACGGCCAACUUCGUGC